UUUUUCAAAUCAAGGAGGAGCGGUCUUCGUUUGCGUUUCUAUCGAUUUGUUCGUUUGAUUGUGUUAUUUCAAUGUUUAUUCUAAAAACAUGCCGAAUAUGACACAAAACUAAAUUGUUUACGUAUAUACCUUUCUUCAGACUUUGCUUUUAUGUGUUAUAACAUAAAAAAAUUUAAAACAUUGCUUUUACGACAGUUCGAAUCUUGUAAUAAAGGUGUUGUGAUUUUAAUUGUGAAUUGUAGAGAUUAUGCAGUGAUAUAAAACCUCGGAAACUACAAGACGAACGAACGAUAUAAUCUAUGUUACGUUCAGAAAUGCAUAGAUUAUAGAGAAACACCGUAAUGCAGUUUUAGAACGCACAGAGUGAGAAACGAGCGAGACAGACAGCUGAGUUCGAAAAUAGAACGGUCAAAAAUAGAGAAAAAAUGUCUGGCUCCAAGUCAGUAUUGGGUGGUCAUUCGGCGGAUCAUCACGCCGCGUGGUGGGAGGCACCAUGGAAAACUAUGGCUGACCUUGCAGAAGCGGUGGACGAUCUCAUAUGUAGUUUCGACCAUAUGGACACAGCCAUGGACAACCUAGUGAUGCUUAUAUUCAUAUGGAUUCUAUUCUCAAUAGUGUUACUUGGUAUCGCGAAGUGGGUUUAUGGAAAGUAUGGAAAGAAAACUGAGGAAAAGGUGGAAAAAAAGAUAAACGAUGAACCGAAAAAGACAGCGAACGAAAUUAUCACUAGCGCAGAUAGUGUGCUAGCGACUAGUGCUAAGAUAAAGAGUGGUGCGUUCAAACCCAGCAAACCAACGAGCUUUGUGCCAGCAACCCCGCCGGCGGUCAAGAAGCGAAUGGGCCGCAUGUCCCCGGGGCCAGAACAACUGUCAAUAAGGAAGCAUCAGAGCAUCAUAGUACCGACUUGUACGGGCCCAGAUGCGCCGAGCGUUCAAUGGGUGAAUGAAUUAUUGACGUGGUUAUAUAAUGAUUUGGUUAUUGUGAAUGAACUUGUGCAGCAAUGGAUUGUAUCCAUGAACGAGUUCUCCAAGAAGUCGGUGGAAGAGCAAGGUAUCGGGGUGGAAUUGGUUCGUGCUUUGGAUAGUCAUCCCCCAUCCAUCUCCAAUGUAUUUUGCGAGUGUGACUCCAAAGAUGACGUUACGAUCACCUGUGACUGCGAAGCCACACCAGCCUUCCAGCUUAAAGCUUUCAGCCAGAAAGGGGAGAAAGUGGAAGUCUCCCACUAUCGUGUCAAUGUUAACAGAUUUCGUGCCCGAUUACAUAUUACUUGUAUUACGGAGAAGCUGAUUGGUGAAUUGAAGUGUGACGGAUGGCCAGAAGUCAAAAUCGCGCUUGCGCCGGUUGGACCUCUGAAACCAAAUGCAGCUGAAUCUGACCUGCAACAACUAGUCAGCGAUAUAAUAGUGACGGCACUCCGGAGCACGAAUCUCAAGUUCAACUUGUCCCCAUACCCCACGUGCCCCAGACUGAGGCGGUACAUCCCCGAGUCCACCACAAGACUGCCGGUACAUUAUGACUCCAUGCUCCAACAAGACAGACAUAUGUACACAUCAACGCCCAAUUCAACUGCGGGCUGUAUACAACUGCUGGGUGAUAAACGGUUGUUGGUGAAAGUUGUCAGCGCGAAAGAUUUGGGAGGUAAAACCGGGUGCAUAGCGCCAUACUGCGUGGUGGAGAUGGACGAGCCUCCUCAGAGGAACCAGACUGCUUUCAAGAAGGACACCACCAGCCCCCAGUGGGAGGAACAUUUCCUAUUCGAUCUAUCUGCGCAGACGGCGGAACUGCUAUUCGAAGUCUACGACAGGAGUGGACUGCCUUCACCCGGCGGAGGGGCUUCGCAAAAUCGGUUUCUAGGUCUGGGUCUUGUAGGCAUAGACGAACUGUUGGCGGCGCCUUCCCAAAGACAACAGAUAGCUCUACAGACCAGGCCUAUGGAGGAACAUGACGUCAGCGGCAGCCUUACUGUUGAGUUCCUAUUCAUAGAGGGCGCUGACAUCCCUGAUCUGGGUUCGAAGCCUUUGAAAAUCAAGGAAAGCCUUCGCACCGUUUCACCACACGGCCUGAUGACCACCACCACCAAAACCACAUUCAAACAAAAUGGCCAUGAGAACUCCGCUUUGACGGAGACAGCUCUUCGUGAGCUCGAGCUGAGUCCAUCAAACGCAAACAAAUCAACUUUAAUAAUACAUUCUGUGCAACGGGAGCCGACGAAAUCUAUAAAGGUGGAACUAACCGAUUCCGGGAAAUUCAUCGAAGUAGAACGCGAAGCGAGCCUCAAAGAGAGUCCAGAAACGCAACUGACUCUAGAAAAUACCCAAAAAAAUAUUGAUAUACCGGAGAAGGUGGAUGACAAAAACGGAAGCACCUCUGUGACGUCAAGCCCGAGUCAGUCUCCCGCCAAAAGCGUGAGGAUCAAGGAAAAUGGCACCAAACCUAAUGGAAAGGAUUUGCAAGGUGACUAUGUGAACAACCAGGAACCUUCUCCUCCGGAGCCAACCCCUCGCCAGAAACGCAAACGAGACUUCUUUGGAACCAUUAAGAGAAGACUGGGCAGAUCCCGCACUCGCGGAGCUUCAGCAGGCCUUCCAGACUCGGAGGUAGAGAACCAGCAUCUACGCAGCAUCAGUGCUGAACGGAAUAGUACUGAUAAAUCCCUCGUGCCUAGCAGAAACGUAUACUCGGCGGGAGCGUCUCCCGCGCAGUCCGGCGACGAAUCCAGGACAUCACGAAGGUCCUCUCUCAGCGAAGUCUCCGGAUUUAGUACAGCAUCGGCUCGUACCUUCAUCCACGAAGCCUCAACCCUGGUCCUGGAGACCAUCGAAGCCGGGAUAAAGAAGCACUACCUGGUCCCGUUGACCGUCGCGCAGCGGUCCAGAUGGCGGCGGAAAGGGGUCAAACUGCAUAUUUAUAACGAGCACACGUUCAUCGCUAAGCACAUCAGUGGUGGAACAGUGUGCGAAGUGUGCAAUAAGACGGUUGCGCGGAGACUCGGCAAACAGGGCUACGAGUGCCGAGACUGCUCUUUCAAAUGCCACAAACACUGCCACGUCAAGGUCAACACCGCCUGCCCACACUCCACCGUUCCCAAUAUGGAGCUAUCCAUGCUCCCAGUGCUAAAUGAAUAGUCAAGCUAUAAGAAGACUGCAAGAAAUUUAUAAAAAAAUACAAAAAAAUCAGGGCUUAUAUCUCAUCGCCAUAUGCGGAUAAGAACAUAAGGAUGUUGUGAUCUUUGUAAUAAACGAUAGCUUACGCACAAUUGUUGUCCUGUUAUACUAAAUUAUGUACUUACACAAUUAUAAGUACAAUAUGUAGGCUUUUUAUACAUAUUUAUCUAUGAAUUAUAGCAACUCAUAGAAUAAGUUAUAGAUUAAGCUUAAAGGUAGUUUGAAAUUUUAAUUACCCAAACACAAGUGUAUUGUGUAUAUUUCCUCUGCUUGCUAAAACUAUAUUGGCUAUAUAGAGUAGUUUAGCGUCGCUAGAGCCCACCUUAACCCACGUUACCACUGACAAAAAUUUCAAAAUGGCUACCUCAUUCACCGGAGUUACCAGCUGAAUUAUUUCAAACAUUUAAAUUUUGUAUUCGCACAAACUCUUUUAUAUUCUGUGCACAAAAAGUCUGAUAUGUGCAAUAACUUAUAGGAUUAUUUUGAAUCGUAAUUAAUAAAUUAAAAUAGUUGGUGUUCAGAUUUAACAAAAGAAAUACUAAAUGCUUCAAGAUAAUCCUGUAUUUUCUAAUUUUAUUCCUCUCGAAUAUAUAUUUAUUGAUGUAUGUGAUUAAUCACGCUAUUGGCGAGAAUAUCUUUUUACUUUUAAUCAAGCUAGACAAUACAUUUGAAAUAUUUUACACUGUUACCAGUCAUUAAUAUUCAUGACAAUGUACUCUUAUGAAUUAUAAUAAUAAAAAUAAUA